UACGUAGGGGGCAAGCGUUGUCCGGAUUUAUUGGGCGUAAAGAGCGUGUAGGCGGCCAAUCAGGUCCACUGUGAAAACUCGAGGCUCAACCUCGAGAGGUCGGUGGAAACCGUCUGGCUAGAGUCCGGAAGAGGAGAGUGGAAUUCCCGGUGUAGCGGUGAAAUGCGCAGAUAUCGGGAAGAACACCCGUGGCGAAGGCGGCUCUCUGGGACGGUACUGACGCUGAGACGCGAAAGCGUGGGGAGCGAACAGG
rnacentral:rRNA from 1 species